GUGUCAGCAGCCGCGGUAAGACAGAGGGUGCAAACGUUGUUCGGAAUUACUGGGCGUAAAGCGUGUGUAGGCGGCUUUGCAAGUCGGAUGUGAAAGCCCCGGGCUCAACCCGGGAAGUGCACUCGAUACUGCAGAGCUUGAGUGUGGGAGAGGUUGGUGGAAUUCUCGGUGUAGAGGUGAAAUUCGUAGAUAUCGAGAGGAACACCGGCGGCGAAGGCGGCCAACUGGACCACUACUGACGCUGAGACACGAAAGCGUGGGGAGCAAACAGGAUUAGAUACCCGCGUAGUCC
rnacentral:rRNA from 1 species